GUCGCAGUGUAGCACAACGGUUAGGGAACUGGGCUCGCAACCCCGAGGUUAAAGGUUCGAUUCCCAGGUGGGGCA
rnacentral:tRNA from 1 species